UAGUUUCAGCUUACAAUACCAGUAAGUUCAAACAUUAUCCAGUCCCUUACAAAACUCUUUACUCUUCAAAGAGUUGGGAUGGACGGAUUGAAGACUUUCUCUGGAUUUUGAAGAAUUGUUCUGGCUGCUUCAUUAGCCUUCUGUAGGUCCCCUUGUUGACACAACAAUGAAAUGAUGGAAUAGUAGGUUGCAAAGUCAUAGCCUGGUGGUUUUCCCAUCAAAUAUUCAUUAAUCUCCUUGUUACCAUCUCCAUCCACCUUCUCUCUAAAUCCAUCCUUCAUAUUAGUCCCAUGAACAUCUGCAGACAGCAGAUGAUGAGCAUCAUCUCUUCCAUCUAUCUUGUUUUCUGUAUCUACAACACCUGAACCGUGCAGCUCCUUUAGUUUCAGAAACACUCUACCACUGUCAGACCUUGGGGAAGAUAUAGACAAAUAACUAAUUUCAUUUAGAACAAGUAUGACUUCCUUGAUUCUUCCUUGCUCACAUGCAAGAGAUAGGAGACUAUCUAAGGACUCUACAUGAAGCUCAUCUCCAGCAUUAUUUAUCAGAUCUACAAUUUCUGCACGCUGCAGCAUAACCCUUAAAAUGCUCCUUGCUUCCUCCAUCCUUCCUUUUGCAAAGAGUCCCUCAACGAGAUUCAUGAAACCCAAGAAAUCUGGAAAGCAUCCUCUGGUUUUGUUUUCAGUAAAGAAACCUAGGGCACCUUCAAUGUCGCCUCUUUGACAAAACCCAUUUAGGAUCGCAGCAAUUGUAUAAUCAUCUGGACUCAAACAAUUCUUUUCCAAAUCUGAGAGGAGAUCCAAGGCUUCUUCAACCAAUCCGCAGUUGCAAUACCCAGUUAUCAGUUUGUUAAAAACUGGUGUAUUUGGGAUAAUACCCUUGCUGAUCAUCCUUUUAAAUAAUUGGCUUGCAUCAUCCAGGAAACCUUCUCUAGAUAAUGCACCUAUAAGAGUAGAAUAAGUAACAACUGUAGGAGGCACAGAAAGGUUCUCCAAAGAAUCAAAGACUCUGAAUGCUUCAGUUAGGCACCCUUGCUGGCACAAACAAUUGAUUACAGAAUUGUAGAUGACAACAUUAGGGUAUAUCCCUUUCUUUUUCAUGCUUCCACAGAGAUCUAGAGCUCUUUCGAGAUAACCCGACUUGCAAAGUCCAUCCACCACAAGAGAGUAAACAAAUACAUCCACAGGAACUCCAUUUUCUUCAGAUUGCAAUAAAAACUGGUAAGCAUCUUCAACUCUGCCUUCCUUAUUAAGAGUGUCAAUGACCGUGGUCAAGGCACCGACUGAAAUACACUUAAUAUUUAGAAAACGAAUAGCUUUCUCCACAUUUUUCUUGCUAAGGUAAAGGAACAUAGCAUUUGUCAUCUGAGGUUCAAAAGUUCCAUAUAUCUUGAUGAAUUCACUUAUUACAAGUUCAGCGAUUUGUUUAUCUCCAAUUCGUAAAAGGCUUUUCAGAAGUACAUUGUAUGAUUUGCUCAUAACUGCCAGGAAUCUAAUUCUCAACAGAAUAUAUACAUCCAAUGCAGCCGAAAAACAUCCCUUUGUGCAUAAAAAUACAAUAGCCUCAUUGCAUAUCAAAACGAGAAGCUCAGGUUCUAAUUUCUCCGUUCUGUGAAUAAAUCUCAACACUGCUUCACCAUCACCUUUUCCAAAAAUAGCUCGAAUUAGCAUCCUACAAGUAAUUAAAUCAGGGGAUAGGUUUCUCUCAACAAGGUCUUCAAAAACUUCCAUAGCUAUUUCUGACAUGUUUUGUCUGCAUAGUCCUCUGAUAAUACAAUUAUGGGUAGAAGCACUAGCAAAUAAUGAAUCUCUCCGACACUCGUCAAACACCAUAAGUGCCUUUUCAAUCAAUCCUACCUUACAGUAGCCAUCAAUCACAGUACAAUAAGUAAUUGAAUUUGCAGACAAGCCCAUCUCAGGUAAUUCAUCAAACAGCUUACAACCAUCUUGAAUCAUACCUGCCAUAAACAGAGCCUUGAUAAGAACAUUGCAAGUAACGAUGUCAGGAACAAUGCCAGAUUCAUCCAAUCUCCUCUUGACCUCCAAGAUGCCUGCCACAUCCAUUUCCUUCAGGUAUCCAUGUAACAAUGUCGCGUAGGUGAAAUUAUCACCAGCAAAGCCCUUUGAGAUCUCAUUUGCCUUGCUUACUUGGCCAGCUUUACAUAGGGAAUUGAUCAAUGUGUUAUAUGUCACGGUUCCUACUUUAAUCUCUUUCUUCUCCAAUUCCUCAAGCAAACUAAAAACUCUAUCCAAAUCUCCCUUCCUACAUAAUCCAUCAAUCAAUACAGAAUAUGCAAACUCAUCCGCAACAAAACCCAACUCUUCCACUUUCCUCAAGGCAUGAAAUGCUUCCUCCAACUUGUUCCUCCUGCAGAAACCACGAAUUACAGCUGUGAAAGUCACCACAUUGGCAUGCACACCUUUGCUCUCCAUUUCCUCCAGAAAACCAAUCACUUUCUCUACAUUUCCUUCUUUACACAACCCAUCAAUGAUGCUAGUAUGGCUAACUACAUCUGGAGUAAUUCCCUUGUCCACCAUGAGUUUGUGCUUCCGAAGACCUUCCAUCAGGUCACCUCUCUUCAGAUACCCAUCAAUCAAGCAGCUAUACAGAACGGCAUCGAGCGCCAUUCCCUGGUCUUCCAUAUUCCGAACCAGAUCGCAGGCCUCGUCGAUUCUACCUUCUCUGCACAGUGCAUCGACCACAGUCGUAACGGUGACGAGAUUAGGCAGAAAGCCAUCGACUUUCCUUGCUCUUUCGUAAAACUCCAGACCAAGCGCCGGCUCCCCGAUCCUCGAGAACCCGGAGAUAAUGGAACUACAAACGAAAUUGUCGGUCAAGAUACGGUCUUUCUUAUCAGCUGCGGCCUCCAACACCUCGACUGCUCUAUCCAACCUACCCAGAGAACAGAAUGCCGCAACCACCGAGCGGAAGGAGCCGAGGGAGGGGAAGACGCCACGGUUCCGGACGCACUCUUGCAGGAGACUGAGGGCUCCGUCCGGAUUUCGUUCGGCGACGCAGAGACGACGGAUGAGGGACUCGACAAGGGAUCUCCUGAAACCGAAGUCUAGAGGAGCGCGGGAGAUGAAGCGACCGGCGUCGUGGAAGCGGCGGGAUCGAACGAGGGCGCGGGCGACGAGGGAGUGGGUGCGGGGGUCCACGGGGAGCGAGUUGGAGGUGAUUUGGGAGAAGAGACAGAGGACGAGGCGGGGCUUGCGAGCUUCGAAGAGGAGGAAGGAGAGGAGGAGAUUAAAGGAGCGGACGGAGGGAGCGGUGAGGCCCGCCUUGAUUAGGCGCUGCGGGGUGGAAAGCUGGAGCAUGGGAUUGUGUUUGCUCGAAGGUAAUGGGCGUGAUAGAACGAACAGUGGACAAUCGACUUCAUAGAAAGUAGCGGUGUUAUGUGGGCUUAAGCCCAGUCAUAUGGCCCACGCAAUCGGCCUCGUAAUCCCACGAACUCAAAUAAAAUCCUCAAAAGAAGAUUGAUUACUCGUGCAUUAAAUAUCUCAUAAAUAUAUAUAUAUAUAUAAAUAAUAAUUUAUCAUAAAAUCUUGGACGUGAGAAAGUAAUUGAUGUAAUUUCUCUUGCAAGCUUUUUUUUUCUCAUUUAUGCCCACUUAAAUUUUUUUUUUAUUUUCUAUGUGAAUCCAACCAAACUUUACACAUUAUUUUUGUUGGAAGAGAGAAGACACUCAAACUUUAUACAUAACCUUUUCACGCUUACCUCUGUCUGGGCGAUGGUGGGGUCCAGAUCGGGUUUGAUGUCGGAGGUGGAGCUGCUAACCGCGCCACUCGGGUGGCCGUCAGGAACGUCACCUCGAGAUAGGCCGAAAGCUGAAGCAAGAGUUCGUGGCGGCUCGGGGCCUCUCCCCGCUGCGCCUCUCGCCGGCUCAGAGAUUUCCCUUCCAACGACUCGGUGUUCGAUCUGGUGCACGCGAUCAACGCAUUGGACGAGGGCGGCGCCCCGUCGCUGGGGCAGACGAGCCGCACCAUCGAGGCGCUCGAGUUCUUCAUGUCGGCCGGUCAUUUCAUCAAACAGGUUUGCUCGUUUACUGUAUUCCAAAUAAGUGAAACAUGGGACUAAUUAUGUGUGUAAAGUCACUAAUUACGUUCAUUAGGAAGGUGAUGCAAAGAAAGAAGUAACUAUUCUAUGCUCACAGCAGUAAAUCUGUACUGCAUUGUCUUCAAUUCAGCUUGUGUAUCAAUCAUUGGUUAAUCAUUGAUUAACCAUUUUGCUGGAUUUAGAAGACUGUAGCUCAACUUCAUAUGCUGUAGACAUGUCAAAGGGCAGAUAGCUGUAGGAGUUGGUAACAUCCAGAAACACCAAUUUUGAAGCAAACAUGGGAAUGGAUACAUGAACAUUCAUACAUGACAGCAUUGUUCCAUUUAGUGACAUCCUUUCUUUUCUUUGGAAAGAAAUAACAGUAGGGAACCACUGCUACACUAAAACCCACACCAAUUAAACCGUUUAGGUUUUACAUUCCAUACAAUAGCCAUCAUUUAUGGGCUUCAAGUGAUCGCGAGAUAAAUGCUUCAUUACAUGAAGCUUUCCAAAAAGCACAACCUUUUCUCACUUGAACGAAAAAGAGCAAAUAAUAUACAAGAUGGACGCGAGAGAAAAAAAUACAAAUAGUUCAUUGGGAAACAUUAGAUGUCUUUGCUUCAUUCUCCGAGCUGCAUGGUCAUCGCGAGCAAUGUCUUGAGAGAUGUCUGUGCUUCUACUUGAUGGUUCAUGCAAAACCAUCCAUCAGUUGCAUGCCUUCCUGGCUCAUCUGCUGCACUUCAGAAGGUGAUAGAAUUCUGAUGCAUUUGACACAGCUUAUGAACUCCCUACGGGUGCAGAGAAGCAAUCAACUGUUAGCAAUUAGAGAGACAUGAUAUAGCUUGAACUAAAUCAUUCCUUGGGUGGAUAUUUUAUGAACAAGACAUGGAGCCAUGAUAGACUUGACGGUCAACCGAUUAAAAACCCCAAUGAGAUUAUUGUUUUCAGAUUGGCUUUGGCAGAUAGACUAUACAAAAUGAUGCUUGAAAUAUACUUAAGAAACUAUGAUUAUAUGUAAACUGAACACACAACAAAAACAUUUCUCGGCAACGAUAUCAAGAUACUCAAAUUGUGGUAUAAAAUGGCUGUCCAAAGAACACUAUCAAUAACUAUGUUAAGAGAGAGAGAGACAGAGAGAGAGGAAGUAGAAAAUUAUAAUGGCAAUGGACUAAAGAUGUGCAAGGAACCAUUAUGUCUAUGUAUCCUAAAGAUGCCAUUAUAAUUUUCUCCAAUUCCAGUAUUUUCUUCCUUUCUUGGUGGUUAGAGCACAAGAAGGAUUCUUGGGGCCAUCCCAGCAAAAGCAGACACCACAAGCCAUGCAUCUCUGGCACAAAGCUGCACUUAUCAGAGUUCAGCGACCUGGAGAGGACCUUUAUCCCGUCAGAGGACAACCAAGAUGGUUAGGAUGCUAUCGACCAUGACUAGACAGGAAAUUUCCUUUCUGUUUUUGCUGAAAUCAUGCAAUCAACCAUGACUCCCCAGCUUCAUAGCUCAGGGAGGAAGACUAGUUCAUUCUUGCAACUUAACCAUCCAAGAAGCAUGCAUGACUUGGUGCAACAAAAGCAACUAAAUUGAAUAGUCAAACUUGCAUCGGUCAUUCAGUAAUCAGGACAAUAUUCUUGAAUUGGUAUGCGAAAUUUUUGUAAACGAGGAUCCUUAAGGUACAAAAUUUGACAUGGCUCUAUGUCCUUAUUUACUCUUAACAUGGAAAGGAAUCCAAAGACAAAACAUAACUCUAAGUAAAUCUAUAAGCCAAUGUGGGUAGGGUAGCUCAGUCAAAUUUGUCUGGGAAGAAAGAUAUCCCGAGUAAACAUUUGAAACCUAAAGCUCUAUGAUCCACAUGAUGGUACUCUCAAAUUUCCUUAAUUGUGGGUUUGCACCACAAUACUAAAUUUAGAUAAAAUAGGUGCACAAAUGAUGAGAAAAAGGUCUAUAGUGAAAGGCCAAAACACCUUUAUAUACAAAUUACAAAGACCUGAAGAAAAAUAAUAUUAUUAAAACAUAUUUCAGAAAAGAUGAAUCUUAUUGGGCUUAUUGGGAUAUUAAUGAAUCUAAGCAAUUGCAUGAAGAAGGGAAAGGAAAGUUGACACUUACUCCCAUGGAUCAUCCCCAACCAGAAGAACAUCAUUUUCAUAAUCUACAUAAACAAGCUUCCAUUCUGAACCUCGUGGAUCAUCCAGUUGUCCCUCUAAUCCAAACAUGCAGGCAACUGCAGAUCUCAAUUCACAAUAAUUGCUAAAGCGUGUUACAUCAAUUGAUCUUCCAACAGAUCCUACUUUUUGAACCUGUUCAACAUAGAUGGCAUCACUUAUUAGUAAAAAAGAUAAUUUACUUUGUUUAUUCUUGAAGUAGUUCCAAUAUUCGAAACUAGUAUUCCACCUUAGUGUAUGUUCUUAAAGGUUGUUGACAUGCUGGCUUCCUGGAACCUCGGUAUAAGCUGUAAUCAUUUGUAGCUAUGCUGGCAGAUGAUGUACCUGCAGAGCUGUCAUGGACAUCUUGUAGCGAGAAUACUGAGUCUGUCAUUCUUUUUGAAGUAAUGUGAGACAUUGAUUCCUGAUUUGAAGUGAAAUUACAAACAGGCAUCACUGAAGGAAUUUGAAACCUGGAAGAUCCUAUUGGACUGAGGCCGUCUAUGGCCACACCUGGAACAUGGCCCAUAUCCAUGCUUUCAUUGCUAGGGUCGAAACGGAGAUUGCUAAUUGUCUCACCCUGGUUGUUGCUCUCCUCGGACAAGUCCAUUACCCCAUAUGGGUUAGAUACACCCUGCAACACAGUGCAGUCUCCUUGAACAUCUAAGUUGUGAACCUCAGAUGAAAGGAUGCCUUGGACAAGCAGCUCAUCAUCUAGCGAGUUUAAUUGUGUGCCUAAAAAUUCUUGAAUAUCUGUUGUGAUGCGCUGGGGUGUUCCUGAAUCCGAAAUGCAAGAGAGCUGAAAUGUCUCUGUGGGCUCAAAACUGUUGGGAUUUGCCAUAGAAGAUAUAUCUGCAGAGGAAGUUGUAGCAUUUUCGGCUGCAGAGAGAUAAAAGGAAUCCAGCUUACUGUUAAUAUAGGGAAAUUCUGGAGUCUUUGAUGAACCCAUAAAGGAUUGAAGGCAUGAAUGCUGCGUCAUCCAAUCAUCAUUAUCCAAGAUAGGAUGCGAGCAGUCCUGAUGUGGAAGUAAGUAAUUUAGAUUACACAUGUCCGAUGAUUGUGCUGCAUGUAACCCAGGAGACUGUGUUCUAGAUGGAUCAUUCUGCUGCUGAACAAGUUUGUGAUCACUCUGUUCCUUCACUUGUAGGGCUGGAUUGGCAGAUAUCUGAGCUGCAAGAUUCACACGAUCAAAUGGGCCUGUACUUGUAGAUUCACCAUUUUGAUGUUUUGACAAUUGGUCCAUGUGUUCUGCCAGCAUGUCAUGGGAAAGUGUUUUGAUCAUACCAUCCGAUUGACUAUCCAAAUCUCCAGGAAAUGCCACAGAAGCCACCUCUGACUGCUGAGGAAUGGAUUCUUGCAAUGAUGCAUCUUCACUCCCCUGUAGGUUGAUUCCAUUCUCACCUCGUGUAUUAUGAUCUUGAAAAUUUUGUUCAUGCUCUGCUGGACGUGCUUCCUCACGAUCUGAUACUUGGGACUUCACUUGUGUCCCUGAUACGAAAUCUAAUUUAAUGCCCUGGGUGGGCACCAAAUAAAGCCUAUGUUCUUGUGAUACAACAUUUUGCAAAGGAUCCAUACCUUGUUGUGGAGAGAAAUGUUGUUUCUGCUGCAUUGCUGCUGUGGUGACUACUUCCUGCUGAGUAGAACUUCCCACUGUAUGCAGUGGUGGCAUAGUUACUGAGAAGCUUCUUGAGAGUUCACUAUUUCUAACAUUCUGCAAAAUACUGGCAUAUAUGGACUGGUGAUGUGCAAGCAGGCCAUCACGAUUAGGAUUACAAGGCUUGUUAAGAAGCCUUAAAAGAUUUUCUGACCCAAGGCCGGCGAAGAAGUGCUGUGUGUCGACAUUGCCAUCUUCAGUUGGCUUUGGAAAUGGUUUCAAAUUUACAAAAUGAUUGUUUAUUGCAGGACCUGCAACACAUAAGCAAUAUAAUCAAGAUUUUACAAUCCAAAGUGUAUGACAUUAUGAAAAGAAUCACAAAUCUGACCCUUCAAAGCAUUAAUUUGCACAUGCACACUCGGAAACAAUACUUAUUUGCAGCUGUCCCCUUGAGGUCAUGGUCUACUGACUGCUGUAAUUAUAAUAUAAGUUUAGGCUACUGUCAAACCAAUCCUCAAAGCACAUACAUACCUUUUAUUUUGUUGACUUUAUCAUUAGCUAUUGAAUCUAACUUUGGUUGGUUAAUGAAAUUUUAGUGGAGUGCAUUUUGCUUGAUAACAACCACACUUUGACAUUGUCAGAAUCUUUGCUAACCAGAAUGGCACUGGUUCAAAUAAAUUACACUUCAUGAUAAAAUGAUUGUUGAAAUGGUAUUAUAGCAAAUGUAGGAAAAUUAGGAACAUAACUAAAUGGAAACAUUUCCACAGCAUACAUCAGACUGGUAUCUUAUAUUCCAGUAAAUCUUAGGGCUAAGGCUUCCUGGUAUUUCUAGUCAGGUGUCCACAGAAAAAGGAAAAGUUAUAUUGUGCUGCAUUUUCAAAUAAAAUAUUUGACAAAAAUUUUAGUUCAUUAUUAAACAAGAUAAAAUUCCUAGGAACCAAAAUAUGGGCAGGAUAUAUCACAUUAUAUAUCUCAAGGAGAAAUUUUUUUUGCAAUGAGAAUAAAAUUUCACAAACAAGUUCUACAUCAAUCUUUGGUUCCCACCUGUGCUACGAUUAGAAAGUCACAUAAGAAAUCAAUGUGAUAGCAGUUUUUUUUGUCACUGACGGUUACAAACAAGAAAAGCCACAAAGAGUUAUCUUCCAAGCAAUAUGAAAAUACUCACCUACAUAUCCAGGAAGACAUUGUCUUUUUAAACUUGAAGUUACAUUAGGAAAUGCAAAAAGACUUUCUGGGGUUUCAAUUUCCCAUAAGCUGACCCUAUCAGGUCGUUCUCCAUAACCAUGUUCAUCCCAUUCCACCUGGAAACACAAAAUUAGCGCAAAAGGAGAAGUCAAUAAUUUUCGAUCAUCAACAUUGAUCUUUUUAUUGUACAUGUAUGAGCAAAAGCUGACUCACUUGCAGGUUUCGCCACCUUGAAUUAGGCCAUCUUACAGGAUCAUAAUCACUGAUACCUACAAUUGUGCCCAUGUAUCUACAAGAACAAGCAACACAUUUUAGGAUGUUAAAUCCUAUUAAAAAGAAGGUCCAUAGAUGCUACAUAAUGAGUUUACUGAAUUUGUAGAUCUUAAGCAACAAAGAAAAUAAUUAUCAUCGGGCACAUUUGGGCAGCAUGAUGCAAAUUCACAUAGAUAUUAGAUACAUUACUAUGUUGGAAUACAAACACAUACAGAUGUGCAAAAUUCAUGUUUAUACAUCACAAACUUCUAAGCAUAUAGACACAUCACUUGAAAAUUUUCCCCAUGGUCAUUGAGGCAAACCACUAGGAAAAUAGCUAAGCUUAUCAUUACCAAUAAGAUUGUUCAGAAAACUAUAAUUGCCUAAUUAAAUGAAUCUAUAAACUUUCCACCAAAGAAAAUUAUUAAGAUUUCUUCUAAACUUAAUCUAUAAACUUUCCACCAAAGGAAGGGCAUUGUCUUUAAUGGUAAAUUAGGUUCUGUUGGGUGGAGAAGUGGCAUCUUUGAAAAGAAGGCAUAUGCCUCAAGAAGAAGAGCCCCUGAGAAUGGCCAUGUGCUAAAAGCCUAAAACCAAAGAAGCUAUAUUUAUUUAUAUCUCGUGUUUCUUCAUAUUAAGCAAAAUAAACUAAUGCACUUUGGUUGCAAUAAUAAAGAUAACACGUCCAGCUAAUUGGAUUUCUUGUCCUGGAGAGAAUUCUUAUGAUUCAAAUCAGUGGAGGUAUUGCAUCAUAAUAAACUACGUAUAACACCGCAGUAAUGAUUGACAAAUAAUGAGCACCUAAGGACCGUGGAAAUAGAAGUUAGAUUUUGGCCUACUUAGGUGUGAGUAAAAAUACAUCAUUGGCAGUCUGAACAAAUAGGUCAAGGUAAGCCUUUUCUGAAGAUUUAGAAAUUCCUAGUUUUCAUCAUAACAAAUUCAGUAGCAAAAGAAGAAAAGAGAUCCAUCAGACAAAACAAUGAACCAUGGGAUUCAUAACGGAAAUCACGGCCAGGUGCUACUACCAAUCGGCAGCUGGACCAGUAUGGUUCUGAUAUGUAUCGACAUACUGAUACUUUGUAUGUAUUUGUAUGGCCUGGACCAAAGAGAAAUAGGAAGAUAAGAGGGAAAGGGGAAAACAAGGUGAAGAAGAGGGAGGAAGAAAGGUUUGGCUGAAAAGGAAGAGGCCUACCAGAGGUCAAGCAGGAGGCAGCAACCCUUACAAGGUGGAGAAGGUAAUGACAAUGGGGCAAGAUGGAGGAGGCAGUGGUGGUUAUGCAAUGGCGAGAAGGAAGUGGCGAAAGAAGGGAACAUAUAUGAGGAGGCAAAGAAAGGGAAAAAAAAAGAAGAAAAUAGAUCUUGAUAUUGAACAUAGGUGAUCAUGGAGUAGGUCUAUCACUCAGUACACCAUGUUUUAACUCUAAAAUUUGGUUGGUAUGCUUGGUAUGGUAAUCAUACCAGGUAGUAUGAAACAAUACAAAACAAUAACUGGUGGUUCAUGGUUGAAUCAAUAAAUACUAUGCAUAGUUUGGUACACCAGUUACAAUGGUAUGAACUAGAAAUGGUUGGUCCACAUACCAGUUUAUAAUUGGACGCGUAAUAACCGACCUGUCCCAACAAUUAUCCCUGAUUUUAAAUAACUUGAAAUUAUUACAUGCAUGACUAUUACUGUUACAUACUCAAAAUCACAAAUAAAUAAAUAUUUAUGCUUUGAUCCCAUAGAACAAUUGCUAUGCUUCAACUGACAACAACUACCAUACCAACAGUAAGAAUACAAAGUGAUGAUAGGAAAACAACCUGCGUUUACUUGACUCCUCAGUUUCAAACAUCAUGCCAAAUCUCAUCCCAAUUGAUACCUGGGUAUACGCAGCUUUAUGAUACUUGGUUAAAGGAAUUAUAAACUCAGAAGGACAUGCUCUGAGAAAAAAACAAAAGAAAUAUUAAUAAAUAAGAAUCAAGAACAAAAAUAACUCAAAGUUUUAAAACAUGGUGAUCAAACAAGAGCAAAACAAUGUACCUAGGAUUAUAGUACACAGUGAAUGGGCUCCUAUUUGCUGCAGCAUGAGCUGCUGCAGCGAGGACACCAAUAUGCAUACUGUCAGUGGAAAGUACAGAUGAUGUUAGGGCUGUUUGUUUACGGUUGGCACGUCUAACACCCAAGAGUAGCUGUGACUUCUCAUCCCUGUAUGCACUACACAUUUCAUUAGUUUCUAGUGAUGAUCUUUUUUUACCGAAAGAUAAAAUACUCAAACUAGCCCCAUCAUACAGCAAUUCAUAAUGUGCAUGUAUAUACAUCAAGUAAAACCAAAAAUCUUCAGCUAUUCAAAUAGCAAUUCCUAAUAUACUUCCUUCUACAUAAGCAUAAACUUCCAAUAUAUUGCAAUUAAAUAAAUUUUCAAUACAUUAUUCAUGUGUCAACCUGCUCAAUGCUUGAUUGUGUUCCGACUAGCAUAACAACGAUUAUAAAAAAAUAUCUGAAGCCUACUUUCUGGUUUCACAUAAUAACAAGCAUCUAAUAAAGGAAACAUGGGAAUGUCUGCUUCCUUGUUCCCCAUAAUUGAGCUCUAAUAACAGUCUGAAAGGAACAGAGUAAAUCAUUUCGGAUUUGUCUUCUCAUAAAUUGAUGACUUUUCAUAGGGGUGACCUUUUUUUUUCCAACCCAUCCAACAGACUGAACCAACCUAGAUGAGGGACAAACAAACAGAUCCGAGAACAGCCCCAUUGUUUGAGAUGUAUGUUCCAACAAAACCUUCCCUCACUCUAAGACCAGAUUGGCUCCAACUUUAGUCAUUUGAUCGAAGCAGAUCAUAAUUGCUUGGUCACUAUUAGAUUAGGUUGAAUGGAUCAAGGUCUCACUCAGAUCAAAUCUUCGUUCUUUUUUAUUUUUAUCAAAAAUGUGGACUAGUAGGUAUGCUUUGCAUUCUCAGUCAAUAAUCAGGAUGAGACCAGUUUGGUGCACAUUUAGAAGAGAUUAGUACAAAAUUGUAAGUUAUCUUCAUAUGAUAUAUAAAAUGAAAAUCCAAGUCAAACCAGGUUUGUGGAAAUAAAUGAAGCUAACAGUAGAUGCCCUUGUUAAAAAAUUCAACAAUUUUCAGUAGGUUUCCUUUUCAGUACAACAAUUGUUCAUAAGACUCCUCUAUAACUGUUUGAUGUCAUGGAUUAGCUUAUAAUGGAUCUGCAAACCCUUUAUUCCUUAAAUUGUGAAUCAAGAAUGUCAGAAAGCCUUCUAUAGGUUAUAUAACACACUGAUUAGAAAUGGACAUUUUGGAGUUCACAUGCACAGAAAUCUCAAACUUGCAACAACAGUCAGAAAAUUGUUUAUGGAUCCACCUUAAGCACGUCAUGCCAUCAAAUAACUCCCAACAAGUCUUACAAUUAUUACAUUAGCAAACUAUUAAAACGUUUCAAACUAAAACGUGCAUCUCGACAGUUCAUCUGUUUCCAACAAGGUCAGGUUUGAGUUGACUAAAAGAAGAUUAUAUAAAUAAAAUCAUAAUUUAUUCAACCUACUAUAAUGUCCAUGAUUCGUAUCUGGGUUAUAGGAUCUUGCAAUUUUAUGGUAUGUUUGAUAUUGUCUAACUCUAGCCCAUACCUAACUCAAGUUUUGAUUUUUGCCAACCUGAACUAGUCAAUAAUUUGUUACUUUCACACUCAUGGUAUUUGAAAUUUCAGCAAUACUAUUGGAAGGAAGAAAAUUUUCACGAGGCAUCUUCGCAAGAGCAUAAUCAUGGGAAGUCCUUGGGAAAUUAUUUUUUUAACCCUCAUGAUGUCUUUAAAUCAGAAUAUAUCCAGUUAGUUUCCAAUUUGUUUGUAUAUAUAUAAAAAAAAAGAACAGAUAAACAUGAACAGACCAAGAAAAUUAUCCUUUAAGAAUUUCAGAGAAUAACUCUAUGUAUUUCGUGAACCUGGACACUGGCUAUAAAAAAUCUACACUAUAUCUUCUAUGAUCUUGUAGAAUACAACAAUUAAAGCAAUGAAAGAACAAUCAUUCAAUAAUUUCCAAGUUUCUAGGUUUUGAAAAGCCAAUCCCAAGAUCAAAUUGCAAUAUAAUUACAAUCAGAAACAUAUUUCCUCAUGUUCUGCCAUUUUACCUGAUAAACAAAACAGAAUCACCAGCUUUAAGCCUUUUUGCACCCACAAACAGACUCCAUCCAGUGGUCAAAAGAUGUCUCUUUGGCUGUCCUGGAAAGAAGAGGAAAGCACUCUGUUACUUACAACACUUGUAUCGGUAUAAAUAAAAGCAACAUGGUGGAACUCUAUAUUUGCAGAAAAUGCUUAUUUGUGAGCACAAGAGUAUGGGACAUAACAAUGCAGGAUAUCCCUACUUAAACCAUUUGUUGAAUUUCUAGGAAAUCAUCUAAGAUGAGAAAGUUGGAAUUUGCUAGCAAGUAAUUAUAACAACAUGGUUGUAAUGGUAAACCAAAAUAUGCCUAUACUCCUACCACGAUAUAUGUGUCGAAAUGUCCACAAGUUAUCGUGCAAAUCCCUGACAAUAAGUUCCUGAUUUGGAGGUUGCAUUGAAUAAUCCUGGGAAAUAUAAGCAAGUUUAAAGGCAUGUCCAAUAGAAAGUCAGCAGAAAAUAAACCAACUCCUCACCAACUGUGGAAAUAGCUUUUCAGCAGCCCUUCGAGGUACUGAGAAUCCACCAUGUGUGCUAGUAUCACUUGCAGUUAAAAUCUUACAGAAGAACUCAGUCGGGUGCUUACAUCUAGUAUGACCUAGAUCUGGAAUAGGAAAGACAUCAUUUUCCUGAAAGGAAAAGAGAAAGAUAAGAAUCACAAUACUAGUAGGAAUCCUCUCUUGAACUAAUAGCUCAAAAAGUACAUUUUGAUUUUCACUAUAAUUCCAUCAUAGUUUCAUGAUAGUGUUGCAUGAGCCAUGAAGUGCUGGAUUGCAAAUGCAAGCUUCUAAGUCACUGUAAAGCACUCAGGUCUUAUCCACCUAGUGAACAUCUCUCAACUCCAAGUCUUGGAGAACAAUAUUAGGAAUCGACAAAUGCACACUUUUUUGUUGCACUCUUAUAGUUUCACCUUCUCAAACUAAAAUGAGUUGUAAUCGAAUUCUCCCACAAGAAAAGAGAAGCCUCAUUUUAACUAACAAGAUUAACUUGCACACAGACGUAGAAUUACAAUAUGUUGUGACUGAAUCUCCAAAAGCUAAGGGAAAAACAUCGAUUAGCAAAGAAACUAGCACUUUGGUUUCUCUGUCUUUUAUAAAGCGACAUAAAAGCUGUCUAGACAAUAUCAACAAUUAUUACGAGAGAAAUCUGAUUCCCAGAAAUGGAAACAUAAAUAUCAAAAUAUGUAAUUCAACGAAGCAACAUGAAAAUCUUACAGAAGUUACUGGCUGAAGGGUCAUCUGAGCAUAUAUUUCAUCCGUCUCCUUGUCAGCCUAGAAAUAUGUGCCAAUCAGAAAAAGGCAAGUAUUCAUAAAUAUUUUAAAUAAAGAAAUCGUAGAAAACCAACAUCACCUACUAUACUCACAUGUAGUGUAACAUUGUGAACUUGGCACAUCAAUUGAGAUGGGAGAUCUGUGUAGGCAGGAAUCUGUGAGUUUGCUAUUUUUCUAGUUGAAGCAGUCACCUGACAAGAAACCGGAAGAUAAUUAACAAACCAAAGAAUGAAAAUAUUUAAAUUUUUGCAACAAUAACUUGAUCAAUAUCUUUUUCUGGCUCAGAAAUUAUGGCUAAAAGGAAACUUGACAACGUCGACCAUCCCAUAAAUCACAACAUAUCCAAAUCUACCCAUUAAAAAUUAGUAUGGAUAUGUAAUGUUUAAAUGUGAGUUGCAUUUAAUCCUGCCCAACAUAUGUGAUUUUCAAUGGCGUUCCAAUCAUAAUAUGAAUCAAAGUUUUGAAACUUUUAUCGUGCAGAAGAAGCCAUUCUAUCAAAAUUUUAGUCUUUCAUUCUUAACCCAGAUCACUCAAGUGUUAAUCUAGGUUUGUUAGAAACUUUCUGGACAGAUAAGACUGUUGGUCAAAUCACAAUUAAAAUCAAUAAGACGAGAAAUUUGAAGUCUGUUUUUCUAUUAACAAAUGCUUGUGCAAAUUUUUUAAUGUCAUUUUGCUGCCGAAGAUUCCGAGCUAGGUGAUCUUCAGGAAAGAUGAUAUAAAGACAAGACAAGAAUCUGUAUCCACAAUACAUGAGAUGAUCAGAAAGAAAAGAACCUGUUCACUGUGUCCCUGUGGAAAAUAGUAUACUAGGCUGCCAGGUUGAGGCAAUGAUACAAGUGGUCCAGCACAGGCAUGCCAAAGCUCAGAAUUUAACACCUUUCUUGCACCUACAAAUAAUAGUAAGCUGAAUAUUUUCUUCAAUUCAAUAACAAGUGAAUGAACAAACAAAAAAAAUCUUAAGUAAAUGAGCAAACUUCCACCGAAUAUUACAGUUAUGCAAAAUUAGCAUUAUACAAGAAGGUGCAAUGAAGAAGCAAAUCACUCACUUGGCUUGCUUGGAACUUCACCCAAGAGCUUCAUUUCAUCUAGCAGUGCUGCAGCGCUGUUUAGACCGGCGGCUCGGACAUUUGCUUGAACGGAAGACAUCUUCAACCAGCAAUCUUAGAAGAUUAACUUGAAUUGAGGCAAAAAUGAAGGCAGAAUGCUCAACAACAGCCUCUCCCCGCAACAGAAGAGGAACCUCCACGCUGCGCUCUUCAUCCCGUGAACCGAAAACCUCCCUUAAAACACCCUAACACGAAGUCAGUGGUGUCACAUUCCAAACACCAGAAGCAAUAGCCCAUUGAACAUACUUCAACAGCAUUAGCAUUCGGAGGACACCACUUUAGCAUCAUCCACUUUACAUCUUCAAGCACAGAACCGCUCUUUUCUCGGAAAGAAGCAUCUCCCGAGCAUCAGCGAUAUCCGUCCCGGCAGGAUGAAAAAUGCAGCAUCAAAAUCCCAUCUUUAAGCUGAAACUCUCAUCUUUACUCCAGAAGCACCGACUUCUGAGCACAGAAGCGUGCGUCCGGCCAGCAGAAAACGAAAUGAAAUCGAACAAGUGUUAGGUCCGAAGAAGCCAAAGUAGCAAGAUACCAAAUUGUCCAAGUUCACUGAGAAGGAAUCAAUCGAUUGCAGACGCAGUGGUAAGCACCAAGACCUGUAACUUGUUUGCAGUGGGCCGGCUUAUAAAGCUGCGGCGAGAGAUAGAGAUAUAUAAGAGGGAGGGAGCGACGUGGGCCUCCAAUGGUCGCCGUCGGUGGGGGGAGGAAGGGGAGGAGGAAGAGAGGAGGGCCACCCGCUGCUGUAAGAAAAGGUCGAAAUUUUUGUUGGCAGCCAAAGAAGCACGCGAAACUAUAGCAGCAUUGCAAUGAGUAGUCGAAUUCAGUGCACUCCUUUUUAUCUUUUUAUUCCCUCUUUUCGCCAUAAAGAUACCGACCUUUCGUCGAUGGAAGACGCCAUGAUUCACCUCUCUCUCUCUCUCUCUCUCUCUCUCUCUUCAAAUACCCUUGGCUAAUCCUAUUCUACCAUCCAUUGAUAAUCGUCGUCGAUCUCUUUUCCUUAAUCCCAUUCCUACGUCAUGCGUUUUCCUUCUUUAUCUUGUUUUCUUUACGAAGCAAAGCGGCUUCUUUAACUCAUGGUCUGCUCUGCUGAGUGUUGUGGCAGCUUUAGGAAGGGGAGCAGAGAAAGACGAGCACUACACGGAAUCAGGGGAACUGUCGCAGAGUCGUUGCAGCAGCGGCAGCAAGAGAGAGACAGAGCACAGUUCUAAUCAAAGGAAUGAACAGGGAGGGCUGCUCAUUCGUCCAUACUCUGUCCUAAAGAUGAGCAAAUAUAUCAUCACCUCACCGUAAUGUACUUAAGCAAGAAGAUGGGAUAAGCUUUGUGCGAGAAUCUAAGCAUCCUCGGAGGUCCACUACAAUGGGGAUUACAGCGACCUAGGUUGACUGAAUCCCCAGUCAAAUCUAGAGAGAGUUCUGCUACGCAAGGAGAGCAAUUGAUUUGUGUAGAAAAGCAUCUAGCUUUGACCGCGCAAUUAGUGCACGCGUGGUUCUUCAAUGUCUUGACAGAGAUCAAGAUCACUCUUCACGCUCCAGCCAUUAGGAGCGGCAAUGGGAAGUCUCGUCACGUACGUUUCGGGGGGUUGUUCGAGGGAGGAGUGACUCCACCCUUGAUGCAAAGCCUAACGAAGCCAUCGACGGCCGCGGGUCCACCCAGCGGCCAGGGGAGGGGGAACGCUGCGAUGCUGCUCGCUCCACACGCGACAGGCCCUCCUUUGGUGACGUCAGGCUCGGACGCCAAAGACAAACGGGGAAAGGAGAGAGAAAGACAGAAGGAGAGAGUACUGCUCUGCUCCUCUCUGUCUCUCGAUCUCUCUCUCCUCUCGACCACCAUCUCUGUUUCUCUCAUCAUGGCCUCCCAAAAACGUCACCAAAAGCAGCAAUUUGGGAGCGAGAAAAGGCCGGCACCGCUCUGCUCUUUUGGAGUGGGUGCGUGAGUGAGAGAGAGAGAGAGAGAGAGAGAGAGAGAGAGACAGGGGGCGGAGUCCAAAACGUGGGAUGGAAUGAAGAGAUCUAGCUAGGGUAGGGAGAAGCUAGCUAGCUAUGCGGCACUUUUUGACUACGUCUCGUCCUUUUUGUCAUGGGACCUGCGCUUUUGUCCCAUGCAUGCAUGCAUGCGUCGGCAUCCGCCAUCGACGAUGAUGCCAGCGGACGGCACCGAUCGUGGCGCGGCGAUCGAAGUGCACGCGCAAGCGGUGGUGUGCGUGGUGGACCGCUGGUGGUGGUGGUGGAAAGGAGAGGGGGGAUUGGAGGACAAUAGAUUAGGCCCCGACCUGUCGCCCCCCCUUCCUGCAACACACUGCGUUGGAACUCAAAAUUUUCUUUAGAGAAAGAAAGCUUUACAGUGUUGAGUUCCAGGUUGCAGUGAUUCCAUCCCCCAAAACUACACAGAUUUCACAGGGGAAUCAGAAGAUUAAAUGCUCUCAUUCUUCUUUAUCCUCGCAGGUUGCCUACCUUCUUGCUCAAACAACAUAUCAUUUCCUCCUCUAUUCUAACUCCCCAUGUCAUCUUCACCAAGGUUGAUGGUGAUUGAGAAAGCUGUGUGAAAUCUACCAAGACCAAUACAAUGUCUGCACUCUAUAAUGCUGAUGUUGGUAAUGAUCGACAGGCAACAGAACAAGAACGGACUAUGACCCAUUAUUUACUGUCCUCUCUCUCUCUCUCUCUCUCUCUCUCUCUCUCUCUUCUACACCUUAACUGAAGCCAGCACAUAAUCCCACUGCAGAGGUCAGCUUUCUAAAUGGUGAGAACUAAAUACUAUCAUGUCUUACGCACCAAAGAACUUCAUGGAAUCGGCUAAGAGAAGCGCAUAUGAGAUGAUAGUAUGAUAAGAACAAGAAACGAAGAGGCAUUCGAAGCAGAUUCAAUGCAGCAAUAUAAAGGAUACUGAGAUAUCAAUUAAGAAGCUACGAAAGGGCAACAAACAUUUUGAUCAUCAAGUGCUGCAGCAAACAUUAAAAUAACAGCAGAUAGAAAGGACUUACCGACCACAAUGAAAUGAGAUCGUUGUCAUUCUGUAGCGUGUCCAACAGCAGCAAGUAACAUAUGAUCUUGUCAAGAAGCUGCUCACCUCAUGACUCGUGCACCAAGCAACAAAGGCCAUUCCUCGAGUGUGGCGCAAAUGGCUCUUCUUGUGCUGUUGAGUUCUUCAUGGGAAUUAAAGGAUACAGUUGAAUACUUUCAUGAAUGAAAUCCAAAACCCAAAACUUCAAAAGAGCAAAGAAUCAAGAACAAUAAUGGCAUAUAAAAGACUCUGAUAGACUGCAAAGUAGAAGGGACAUCUAAGAUUGCAAAAUCACUUCAACCAAAACUCUUGUAACAGUAUGGGAAACAUAAAAAAGGAGGAGGAAAUCAAAGUAAAUCUUCUUUAAUAUCAUUCUCUGUUCUUGGCCUUAUCUUUUACCUGAGUAGGAUUCCGGGUAGUUUCUGGAAUGAAAAAGCCUCUGGGUCCUUGAUCAUCAAACAAGCAAGAACUCAUUAUAUUUUAUUUUUUCCAUUGAAAUGUCCAUUUUAAGCACUAAUGUAAGUCAAAUAUUUUCUGAAACAGUGCAAUUACUGGGAAAAGAUCAGUGACAAAAUAAUUCAUCAUAUCUAAUGCAUGGUACUUUUCAGAACUAAAAAGUUCAACUACAUCAAAUUUUACAAUCAGCUGAGUUUUUAAGGUCUUACUGACUGACUUACUAAAACUUUGGAAACCAAAGAAAAGUUUAGAAUGUGGCCUGAUAGUAGUAACAAGACAAUGCAAAUCAGAAUGUUACAGGAUUAGGUUGGGUUUCAAAUGGAAGCUAUAGUUCCCAACUGCCUUUGUAUGCAUUUUCUUUUUGGUUGAUCCAUUGGAACAUACUUGAACAUUAUCCAGUCCCUCACAAAACUCACUCAAAGAGUUGUGAUGGAGUGAUAGGAGACUUUCUGUAGAUUUUGAAGAAUUGUUCUUGCUGCUUCGUUAGCCUUCUGCAGGUCCCCUCGCUGACAUAACAAUGGAAUGAUGGAAUGGUAGGUUGCAAAGUCAUAGCCUAGUGGUUUUCCCAUGAAACAUCCAUUAAUAUCCUUGUCACUAUCUCCAUCUUUUAUAUAGUCCUAUGAACAUGAGCUACCAGUAGACGAUGAACACCUCUUCCAUCUAAUCUUGUUUUCUGUAUCUGAAACACCUGAACCAUGCAGCUCCUUUAGUUUCAGAAACACUCUACCAAUGUUAGAUCUUGAGGAAGAUAUAGACAAAUAACCAAUUUCAUUAAGAACAAGUAUGACUUCCUUGAUUCUUCCUUGCUCACAUGCAAGAGAUAUGAGACUGACUCCACAUGAAACUCAUCUCCAGCAUUAUUUAUCAGAUCUACAGUUUCAGCACACUUUAGCAUGUCCCUCAAAAUGCUCCUUGCUUCCUCCAUCCUUCCUUUUGCAAAAAGUCCCACCAUGAGAUUCAUGAAACCCAAGAAAUCUGGAAAACAUCCUCUGCUUUUGUAGUCAAUAAAGAAAACUAGGGCACCUUCACAAAACUCAUUUAGGAUAGCAGCAAUUGUAUACCCAUCUGAAUUCAAACAAUUCUUUUCCAAAUUUGAGAUGAGAUCCAAGGCUUCUUCAACCAAUCCACAGCUGCUAUGCCAACUUAUCAGUUUGUUAUAAACUGAUAAUACCCUUAAUGAUCAUCCUUUUAAAUAAUUGGCAUGAAUCAUCCAGGAAACCUUCCGUAGACAAAGCACCAACAACUGUUGAAUGCUUCAUUUAGACAUCCUUGCUGGCACAAACCAUUGAUUACGGAAUUGUAGAUGACAACAUUUGGGUAAAUCCCUUUCUUUUUCAUGCUUCCACAGAGAUGUAGAGCUCUUUCGAGAUAACCUGACUUGAAAAGUCCAUCCACCACAAGAGAGUAAACAAAUAUAUCCACAGGAACUCCAUUUUCUUCAGAUUGAAAUAAAAACUGCUAAGCAUCUUCAACUCUACCGUCCUUAAAAAUGUCAAAGACUGUGGUCAAGGCACCGACCGAAAUGAUCCUUUUGCACUUAACACUUGAAAAUCAAUAGCUUUCUCCACAUUUUAAAACGUGGAGAUCGAACAAAAGCAAAACAAUGUACCUAGGAUUAUAGUACACAGUGAAUGGGUUCCUGCUUGCUGCAGCAUGAGCUUGCUGCAACAAGGACACCAAUUUGCAUACUGUCAGUGGAAAGUACAGAUGAUGUUAGGGCUGUUUGUUUACAGUUGGCACACCUAACACCCAAGAGAAUCUGUGAUUUCUCAUCCCUGUAUGCACUACACAUUUCAUUAGUUUCUGGUGAUGAUUUUUUUUUUUUCCAAAAGAUAGAAUACUAAAACUGGCCCCAGACAGCAAUCCAGGAUGUGCAUGUAUAUACAUCAAGUAAAACCAAAAAUCUACAAUUAUUCAAAUAGCAAUUCCAAACGUACUACCUUCUUUAUAAGUAUAAACUUCCAAUAUUUUCCGCUAAAUGAAUUUUCUAUACAUUAUUCAUGUGUCAACCUGCCCAAGGUUUGUUUGUGUUGCUACCAGCAUAACAAUGAUUAUGAAAAGAUAUCUGAUGCCUACUUUCUGGUUCCACAUAAUAACAAGCAUCUAAUGAAGGAAACAUGGGAUAUCUGCCUCUUUGUUCCCUGUACUUAAGCUCUAAUAACAAAGGCAGAAAGUGAACAAAGAAAAUCCUUUCAGUAAUUUUUGGUUCUCAUAAUUGAUGAUUUUUCAUAGGGGUGACAAUUUUUUCCUCACCCAUUCAACAAAUCUGAACCAACCUGGAUUACGGACAGGCAAAUGGAUCUGAGAACGGCUAUAUUGUUUGAGAUAUAUGUACUAACAAAAACUUCUCUCACUUUAAGACCAGGUUGGCUCCAAGUUCAGGCAUUCAAUCAAAGCAGAUCAUAAUUGCUUGGUCAAUAUUAGAUUUGGUCGCUUGGUCACUAGUAGAUUUGGUUGAACGGAUCAAGGCCCAACUCAGAUCAAAUCUUGGUGCUUUUUCAUUUUAUCAAAAAUGUGGACUAGUGGGUUUGCUUUGCAUUCUCAAUCAAAAAUCAGGAUAACAAGGUUGAAGCAAGUUCAUUUAAUAGAGACUAGUUAAAAUUUGUAAGUUAUCUCGAUGUGAUACUUACAAUGAAAAUUCAAGACAAACCAGUUUUGUGGGAAUACAUGACACUAGCAAGAGGUGCCCUUGUUAUAAAGUUCAACAAUUUUUAGUAGGUUUCUUUUCCAAUACAGAAAUUGUUCACAAUACUCCUUGUGACUAGUUCGAUAGCAUGCAUUAGCUUAUAAUGGAUCCGCAAACCCUUUAUUCCUUAAGUUGUGCAUCAAGAAUGUCAGAAAGCCUUCUAUAGGGUAUAUAACACACUGAUUAGGAAUGGACAUUUUGGAGAUCACAUGCACAAGAGGAGAUUGGGAACUACCAUUGUAAGUUUGCUAUCAGACUCAAAGACCUAGGUGUUAAUAAAGAUAUCUCUACCAGACUUCAAACUCAAAGAAGGAUUUGCAACACAUGGAUGGAUAAACCAGCAAGCCUUAUUCUAGAGAUAAACCAGCAAGCCUUAUUCUAGAGAUAAACCAGCAAGCUUUAUUCUAGAGAAAUGCUUUAAAUCAUAAGGAGACAAGGACCUGCAUUGCUUGAUCUCAAACUUGCAACAAAAGUUGGAAGAGAUUGGGUGACAUGGAAACAGAAAUCUUUAGAAACCUAUGCAGUCAAAUAACUCGCAACAAGACUUACAUCUAUUUCAUUAGCAAACUACCAAAAUGUUUCAAACUAAAACCAGCAUCUCACCAGUUCCUUUGUUUCCAACAAGGUCAGGUUUCAGUUGACUGAAAGAAGAAUAAAUAAAUAAAAUCAGAACUAAUUCAAACAACUACAAUGGCCACGAUCGAUAUCUGGGUUCCUGGAUCUGGCUGUUAUAUAGUAUGUUUGAUAUUGUCUGACUCUUGCCCAUACCUAACUCAAGUCUUGAUUUUUGCCAACCUUAACUCAUCACUAAUUUGUUACUUUCACACUCUUGUGGUAUUUGAUAUUUCAGUGAUACUAUUGGAAUGAAGAAAAUUUUUACAAGAGAUAUCCACAAGAGCAAAAUCAUGGUAAGCCCUUGGCAAAAUAGUUUCUGAACCCUCAUAAUGUCUUUAAAAGAAGCACAUAUCCUGUUAGUGGCUAUGGCAGAUCUACACUAUAUCUUCUAUGAUCUUGUAGAAUACAUCAAUUUAAGCAAUGAAAGAACAAUCCUUCAAUAAUUUCCAAGUUUCUAGGUUUAGAAAAGUCAAUUCCAAGAUCAAAUUGUAAUAUAAUUGCGAUCAGAAACAUAUUUUCCUCGUGUUCUACCAUUUUACCUGAUAAACAAUACAGAAUCACCAGCUUAAAGCCUUUUCGCACCCACAAACAGACUCCAUCCAGAGGACAAAAGAUGCCUCUUUGUAUGUCCUCGAAAGAAGAGAAAAGCACUCUGUUACUUGCAACAUUUGUAUCGGUAUAAAUCAAAACAAAAUGAUGAAACUCUAUGUCAGCAGGAAAUGCUUAUUUGUGAGCACAAGAGCAUGGCACAUAACAAUGAAGGAUGUCCCUGCUUAACCAUUUGUUGAAUUCCAUGAAAAUCAUCAAAGAUGAGACACUUAUAAUUUUCUAGACCUUGGAAUUUCCAUGAAAAACAUCAAAAGAUGAGACGGUGACUCUCCAUGCAUGGUGACACUUUCGAAGAGAGCUUCGACGGACACAUGUACUCUCAGUUAAGCAAGUGAUGAAGGAAUCGAAGCGGAAAGACUUGACUCAUCCCACAACAAUGUAGCCGGAGUCAGAAGGCCUUAGCAUGGGGCAAUGGUCCAUUGAGACUGACGCUCUUGAAGAAUAUACCAACUUAACAACAACUCAGUCACCGAAGCCCUUUCCAUAAGAAUAAAAAGUGGAAUGGAAGUUUGAAUUCAGUGAUUGAGUCAAAAAUCUAGUAGACCAUCCACGUUGGACAUCAUUUUUGGAGUGAGAAAAUCUUCAGAGCUUAUCUUUGCUUGUGGGUAUCCCGAUCCUUUUGAGUGGUGAGAUCAGGCGAGCAAUCGUGAAUGUCAAGCAAAUGGCCAAACAAUCAAUGUUGGCGAGACCCUGCGACAAGCAAAUGGUGAUGAUCACACUGAAAAGUUAUAUUUAGAUUGGCAAAGGAUCAAAAGAGAAAUGCUUUCUAUGUCACCAGGUGUGCAAAAGCAACUGAUUAGUAGAGGCACGGCAUUGCGAGGACCUCGAGUCCAUCCAAAAAGAACUUGGUCGAGAAAGCAUCGAAUAGAAAGCCAUGAACAUUAGAGGAUGAGGCAUGGUAUCACAAUGGUGAGUCUUCCGAGUGUUGACCAAACUUAUGCUGUAGAGGGAAGAGCAUAAUUCUCGUUGCAAAUGGAGCAUGUGUGAUCCUAAAGGUGUGGCCAAGUUUGUUUGAUAAAGGUUCUACGAGAUCUUAAUUUAACUCAAGCUUGAGCAACACUUCUAGUACUCAGAAAUGCGACGACAAAAAGUGGACAAAAUCAAGUAACUAACUCAAAGCAAGGAGUACAACCCGAGGAAUUUAGAUGAAGCCAAUCAGAGUAACCCAAUUCUCCUCACCUACAUAGUGGACCUUUGUAUCAAAUAGAAGUCCCUUUAAAGUGCUCAGAAUUCAGCAACCAUAAACUCCUCACCAUUGGGUUAUUGGCUACAUUGAAGGUGGUAUGUCCAUGCACUAUCCUCUCGGCGAGUUACCACAAAAAUGGAGAUAGUGCGAACCUAUUUCGAGAAGAUGGUGAUGGGAUAGAAGAUGCAAGGGCCAAACAUCACAAGAGUAGCAUAGACGCUUCAAGUUCUGUAAUAUUACGCUAACUCCAACCAGUCAAGCUCUUGCAGGGUAACACCUCAAGGGGACUCGAACGCAAGCAUGAAGGUUCUUCUUUUGCUGACUAAAAAAUCCAAAGGAUUCAGCGAAAAGUGUUCCAACCCAGCCAACUUCCCCAACUGAACCACCUCGGCGACAAGUUGCAACAAAGUGGGUGGAUCAAAGUCAACCACUUAACAAUAGAAGCUGAGAAGCACAUUGCGGCUAAGUAUAAUCAAUUUGCAACAUACAAGAAGGCUUUGAUGAGAGCGUUGAAGAAAUAAAUGGGGGAGAAUGUCAUGGAGCAAUGCAGUCAAGGUAUUCGACAUGUCAUUUCAAUUCUUGUUUUCCAUUGCUUUUUGGUGUUUUUGAGUGUUUUUCAUAAGCAGAAAGUACUAUCAUCAAACCAGUUUUGAUCUGUUAUCAGUGUUUUUUGUUUUUUGUUUCUGAUUCUAUCUUACAAAACCGGGUUUAUGAUAGUACUUUCAUAAGCAGAAAUUACUAUCACCGGGUAUAAUAGGACCUAUGUUAUAUGUCUGAGGGUUGUUGCAACACCUUUAGUGUGCCUGUUUUUUGUUCAAUGAAAGUGCUAGGUGCACAUUGGACCUGCAUCUGGCUUCAGAACUCCCUUUAUAUGUGAUUGCCCGAGCAUAGGAUUGUGUUUGUUCAAAGAGGAAGAAGGUCAUGAGCGUGGUAGAAGGUUUGGCAAUCCCCUUCGUGGUAAAUAGCAGUGUUAUAUGUGCUUUAUCAACCCAGUGCAGCCCAAUCAAAUGGCACAAAUACCUUGGCCUUGCAAGCCCGCAAGCUCAAAUAAAAUCCUCAAAGAAGAUUACUCGUGCAUUAAAUAUCACAUCAAAUCUUUUUAUAGAGCAACAAUUAAUGAAAGCAUAAUUUCUACAGGCAAGCUUUUCUUCCAUUUAUUCCCACUAAAAUUUGUUAUUUACGAUGUGAAUUCUUUUAAACAACACUUUAUACAUUAUUUAAGUAUAAUGUAUAAAGUGGCUUUAUUAUAAGCAAAAUUUUGUUAUAAGCAGCUAACAAUCCCCAUAAUAGUGGCUUUUUUCUCAUGAAUGCUCCCUUUUUGUAAUGUUGCAUCACACAGCAUCAACCCCCCUUGAAUAAUGACAUUAAAGCUAGUUGACAUUUGCUAAUGGGUUUUAUAUUUAUAAAGCAUGUAGACAUUGGCAUGCAAUUUCUGAUGAUAACCCCACUCAAUCGGAGAUGACCAAUAACUCUAGUUCAUUGUGUUAAUGGGUCCAUGCAUAGGUGUAGUCUUCUUUUAUGCAUGCUAUAGAAAGAAAUGGCAUAUUGAUGGAAGAAAAAUCCUAUACACCAAUGUCAAAGAAAUUGAUAAACCCUAAGAAGUUGUACCUCAAUGUCUGUCAAAUCAAGCAAUACAGAAGUUUGCUAAUCCCAACCAUUUGAGCCUUAUUGAUUUGCAUUAAAAUGAGGUGAGAUUGAGAUUGUCGGUCGAAGUGGAUGAUACCUUUUAUUGCAUUCAAAAUUUUGUUAUAAGCAUCUAACAGUCUCCAUGAUAGUGGAUUGUUUUCUCAUGAAUACUCCUUUUUUUUUAUGAUUCCUUUUAUUGCACUCAAAACUUUGUUGUAAGCAUCUAACAAUCUCCAUAAUAGUGGCUUGUUUUCUCAUGAAUACACCCUUUUUGGUAUCUUGCAUCACACACAAUCAAACCACCAUAAAGAAUGAUAUUAAAGCUGGCUGGCAUUUGCUAGUGGGUUUUGAAUUUAUAAAGCAUGUUACAACCCAACUCAAUAUAAGAUGACCAAUAAUACUAGUUCAUUAUGUUAAUGGGUCCAUGCAUAGGAGUAGUCUUCUUUUAUGCAUGCUAUAGAAAGAAAUGUUAUAUUGAUGGAAGAAAAAUCCUAUACACCAAUGUCAAAUAAAUCGAUAAACCCUCAGAAGAUGUUUCUCAACGUCAGUCAAAUCAAGCAAAACAGAUGUAAAACAUGUGCAUAAUCAAUGACAACAGAAGACACUUCAAGUGCAAAAGUGAAAAUACACAUUACAGAGAAAACGGUUUUGCAUAAACAUGGAACAUUGUGUUUGAUGUCAGCUGCGGCUCCUGCAGAUCCAAUGCAACAAAACUUGAGUUAGGAAAGUUUUGCCUAAAAUCUCCAUUUCUCAGAUCUAAUGCUUAAUUUAUGAUGUGUGUAUCGCGGCAACAAGAACAUACCUGUCUCAGUGUGCCAGGCAUGCUACCUCCAGUCAACAACAUAGUGAUGAAUGAAGUGACAGGGCCUCCGGAAUUUAAAUCGAUGGUUUUUCUUAUGGUGGAUCGCAUCGAAUUCAGUAUGCUACCGUAUGUUGUCCCAUGUCCUUGCUCAAUGGCUUGGAUGAAACAGUAAGUCAUGGCACCUGUUGAGGUAAUCCCUGAUAGAGCCUGCAAAUGUGGUACACAAGUAAAUAUUAGUAUAGAUUUGGUUUCAUCACAGAACCAUUGCCUAUGCAGAAUGAUACGUUGACAAAUUCAAGAGAACUUGUAGAAUCAAAAUCUGAAUGUGGAAAAAAGCUUUUUCACUCCUUGGUUUGUCUCCUCGAUUGAAUUUUAUACUUGUCAGUUCAUUGCUAAGGAUUUCUUAAAAUAGACAAGAUUGACACUUUUAAUUAGAAGUAUAAGAGACGAUGCUAGAAAUAGAUUACCAGUUUCAUGUUAGAUACUGCCAGCCAUAAAACCUAAGAACUGCAACCAGAGCAAUAGGUUAAAGAUAACUGCUUAUCCAAGACAGAAUCAACCAAGCACUGAGUUAUAUGGUGUCUGUCCUAAAAUAUAGUUUCUGACCGAAGAGUUAUUUACUGAUGGUAAUCAUUAAUUCCAGGGAUUGUUUCUAGAGAAGGGCUACUAUCUAUAUAAUUCAACCCAGCGUUCAAAGACAUAAUCAGGUUCUUUGGCAUACUAAUCAAAUGGAACGUCCAGCCAACUAAUUUCCUUCUCAAAAAUUGACUAGUAAUUGCACUCGAUAAGAUGCCAGAAGACAUUGACAAUUUAUGUUAGAAACAUCCUGGUUUAAAAAAAUCAUUUGGAUAUGGCACUGAUUUGAGCUCUCACUAAGGAUUUUCUGGCUUUGAAACCCAUGUUUAACCCAAGUAUUGACUAUGUUGCAAGAAACGAGAGUUUACCGUGGUUUGUACAGAAGUUUGAUUGUCAUCACAACCACUGAAUGCGAUGACUUCUCCACCACUAGUACCUUUCCAAGCACCAUUUCUUGGGCGAUGAUCUUCCCAUGCAUAGUGCCCACUCCUAAACCAGUGAAGAAAAUUAGCUAUCAUAUCACUGAGAGAAAAAUUACAAGGGCCAAUUUGUUUUUAUUGUUGUACCAUUGAGCAAACAGUAGCCAAUUACCAUCAUCACUAGGAUGCAACCUGGUCUACUGCCACAGGCAAAAUAAAUAUACAUCAUGGUGCUGGAGUGAUUACUGUCAUAUAAUGAUGAAAAGAAUAAGUUGAUUAAGAAUUUUUCAAGAUAAAAAAUGAUGUAAACCUGAUGCAGAUUGCAUCAUAAUCAUUACAUAUCUUCUUUAUUACUCACAUAUUAUUUAAUAAUCUCUCAUAUUUUCUUUUCUUAAGUUCUAUGUUCUCAAACAUUUUGAAUCACAGAUAGAAAAAUACUAAAAAUAGCAUCAAAUGUUUUCAUCGAUACACAUGUUACAGGAGAGGAGAUAGUGUUCAAGAUAUUGCUCAAAUAUACAAAUCCAAAGUGUGUAAUCAGAUAUGACAAGCAAAUAUGAUAAGAAAAGAAGCCACAAAUAAAACUAUUGAAUUUCCUUGGUUAUGUUGAGCAUUCAUCUCUCGCCAAAAAGGGGGGAAAAGGCAACUGAAGUAGAUAUCGGCUAAAUCCUACCACCAACACCCAACAUUCUACCAGCAUGGUUAUAAAGAAAAAGUUCCGAGCAGUCAACAUUUUGAAUUAUUUGGCCAACAUGAUUCAGUAGUUUAAAAUACUUCCAGGAAAAUAUGAAAUCCUUGAUCCCAAAGAAAUGAAGAUUUUCCUUGAUUGGGUCCCACAGUAAUGUCAUUACAUGGAAAUUUUUGUCUUAAAUUAUUAGAUUGGGAAAACAAAUCAUGGACAGCUCGACUCUGCAGAAUAGGGGUGACUCAGACAACAUGCUUCAUCUGACAAUGCAAAACCAUUAAAAUUAGACUAGCACUUAUUUUCCAGAACAGUUUGGCCCCACCCUUCCAAUACAAUAUCUGGUUCCAGGAUUUAGGGCUGCAGUAUAUCCAUAAAUCAGACUUCUCUGAGUUAUUAAUCUCAAGAUACCAGGAUCCAGCAAAAAGGGAUCAAAUUUUUGGAAAUGACCUGGAAUUCUAAACUGCAAAUGUUUAGUGGAAAUAGACUGAGAAAAAUAAAACAAAUAUAUAUGAUGGAGGCAUCUACAAAAUUCUAUGAAGCACGAGUUCAGGACACACAAAUGACAUGAUGUGGAUAUGCCAACGCUUCAAAUCAUGUAGGAUAUGAUGUGCAGUCAACAUGGUAAGAAAAGGUAUUUUAAUUACAACAUAAUGUGCAUCAAAUCUUCACUUGUUUAGAGUAUUCAAAUAUUUAGUCAGAAGUAAUGAUAGACAAAUGCAUAUAUAUAUUUUUAACGGGCAUCCCAACAAUAAUAUAAUUUUCCAAACUUGAAGAAUAGGUACCAACGGCUUGUACUGAAAGACCAUCAUUUCAUCAUUAACUACAAUUUGAUGCUCAAUACAAACAACAUGAGGCAAUGUAUCGAAUCAUAUAUUCACCUUGUCCAUCAAUGAAAGAUCAAUGUUCAAAAAACAUAGUGUUCCGUGACAUACGCAUGAAAUGUGACCCGACUAUCCUAGAAGCAUUUAUUUUGUAAAUAAUCUAAACUAUCACAGACUUCAAGAAAUUAUCCUGCACAUAUUUGAGAAGUAUCUGAUGAGAAUAAUAUCCUGUAGAAAUUUAAUAUAAAAAGUUAGUGUUUCAAUAAAUAGAGAUCAUCAAUUUACUGCCACUUCUCUGCUCUUGUUUCUAUUUCUAGCAUUGAGAAGACCAGGGUGGAUAUUGAUGGAUUUAUUUAGAAAAACAUGGUUGACUGGGGAAAGAAAUGAAGAAAUCAUGAGUUUUAGUUGAAUAUGAUAGAUCAGUGAAGAGAUAGUAACAGAAAUAGCACAUAAUUCUCAUGGCUCAUGGGAAAAAUAAUAAAGUUCUUUGAAGGAAAUGGAAGACAACAAAUAGUACUGGUGCAGAAACUAAGAAAAAAAAAAUAAAAAGAAGCUUUUUUCUUGGAAGCAAAAAUAUAAUCAAGAGUCAUGACAACCUUAAUAUACAUCACUGACCUGUUCAUUCUGCAAAGGUAAGGUAGAUCUAGCAUGGUGCCACUGUGACAAGCAUCUAUAAUAGCGAGAAGCUUAACUCCACGAGAAAGCGGCCUGACCAUGGUUGCAUUAAUUUCAUUAUCGACAAUCAUUCCUUGUGUUCUAAAGUCCAGAGGACAAAGGGUUUCAUCAUAACCAUCUGCUUCUUCCCCGCUGUAGUCUCUUCGUUGUGAACCAUGGCCAGAGUAGAAGAAUACCAAAGAGUCACCUGGUUGACAACCUUGUACAAGCCAAUACAUUGCCAUUCUUAUAUUAUGUUUGGUUGGUAUCUUGUAUGGAUCUCUUUCGUCCUCUGCAAAUCAGCUUCCAAACUAAAAGAGGUUAGAAAAGUCGAAGAUGUAGGAUGCAAACUGAGGAUCAUGGAUAGCCAAACCCAAUGUCUGACUGAAAAAAUGAACUAGACUUUUUCUACUUAGUGUGAAUAGACUUUCAAUUGCUCAAAGAAUCUCAUAUCUUAGGAAACAAGGAUACAACAAUUCCAGGUGACAAGUAGGCACUGGCUUAUCAAGUACAGGUUUCUAUUUUACAAAUACAAUGAAAAUGUAUAUGCCCUAAAGUUUAAAAUGGGCUUAAAUGUCAUCGAAGCAAGAUAGUCUACAAUACUCAUCUUUGCAUCAAAGCAGAUGUGCCAAGAAAAACACAAUUAUCUUUUGCAAAAUUAAAAAAUAAAACAGAGCUGCUUUAUUCAUCACUUAAGGUGAUUAUGGAUUUCUUUGCUGCACAUAAUUAUCAAUCUGAUGCCAUAAUGGUUGAAAAAGAAUCAAGAUUAUGGAAGUGUAGAUGGACAUACAUGCACAGCUAUAAGUAUUUCUUUGAAUAAAUGCUUCCUUUGUUAGAAAUUAAUGGUAAACACUCUGAUUCAUGGAAUUAUGUACUAGUUCUCCGAGCACUCCAAUCAUAGAAAGCAGCUCAUGAUUCAGUUCCAUAGGCACCAGUUCCGUUUCUUUUUCCUCCCUUUUGAUAUGCAACAACUUAAUAUUCAUUUACCAUUGUCCUAGCUAACUCCAUCAAUCAAGUGGCUAUCCUUGACAAAUCCAACUGAGAAGAAGAUUGACAAGCUCUAAUCAUUCAUGUUAUGGGUGCUAAUUCAACUAUAAUUUCCCUUUUUAUUUUAAUAAUGAACCAGGUAGGUAUUCUGCAUAGCGAAUUACCUGGGUAAUUGAUAUUUAUCUGCUAGAUCCACAACCAAUCCAGAGUUUAAGCUCUAGAAGAACUGCACGUUUGCAACUAUGUCCACUAACAUGCAACGUAUAGAUGAUUUCAAAUUCUACGAAAGAACUAAGAAACAGAAGCUUAUAUAAGGGAUUAUGCUCACAAUGAUUAUGGCUGGAACCAAACAAACCAAAUUGAGAGAGACCCGAUUGAUUGACUGUUGUUGUGAAUGGUGAUAGGAAAGAUCAUAGUAGUACCUGUUAGCAUGAUGAUGUUGGAUUCCGGGAAGCUGAAGCGAUUGAUGAGGAGGUACUUCAUGCACUUGGCACCAUUUAUACUCCCCAUAAGCUCAUUUCGUGUGUUCCGAUACGUGACCCCACAAAUCACCGCUUUCUUUCGCCCACCACCACCCGGCAUCGGCGGCAACGCUAGCCCCCAAGAUGGUGACGGGUGUGGGACGGAAUGAGAAGCCCCCAGAGGCAUGGGGACACCCCAAAAAUCAGAAACGUAAGUGAUGGACUUGCAGAUGGUGCAUCGCAUGGACGACACCCCCGAUGGGAGCUGUAGCAGGGUGUGGCAGUGGGAACAAUUAAUCAACAUCAUCGUUGCAUACGGCCCGAAGAUGAUGAGGCAAACGGAUCUGAUCAAGAAUGUAGAGGCUCGAAUGGCCCGUCAAUGGAGAAGAUGGGAAUGGAGGAGACAGAGGAGGGAGGAGAAGAAGCUGACGAAACGGAGUAGCAGAGUUGACAUCUAUUGGCUUUCUCUUUCUUAUAUCCUGAUAAAUUCAAACACACAUGCCUUAGAUCUUGUCCAAAAUCCCUCUUGUCCUACGUGAUUAUUUCAUAAAAAUACACUGUGGGGCCCAGAGAUGGGGUAUCAUACUCAGGCACCACUAGGUAACUCGGAUGAGUGUCUUGGGGAGAUGUAUUCAAGACCUAAAUACAUCUAGUAGAAUAAAUUAAUUAAUUAAAUUAUAAGAAGCUGCAUAUAGUAUUUCCAUAGGAGUUAAACUUCCAAUCGUCUAUAUUUCUAGAAAAAGUAUAUAUUGCUUUUAGGACAGUUUUCUAUAAAAGCUUCUCCUUAUGUGCUUCUCCUUAUGUGCUUUUCCCGAUAGGUACUUUUUAUUUGGAUGGUAUCUUUUUUCUAAUCCCAUAAAUAUCCCUCAUCAUCAUCUAUCGCUUGCCACUCAUCGUUUUUGUCCCUUCGUGGCCGCCUCCACCUUGCUACUUUCAUCAUGCUGCAUCUAGGUGGCCACCUUCACCCCGCCAUGAGGCCUUACUGUCUCUGCCCCAAUUGGUAGUGAACUAGGCAUGGAGAAUGGCAAUAGACUACUUCUUGGGCUCCACCAUCGCUCGCUCGCUCUCUACUAGUUAUGCUCCUCUGUCAUGAACUUAGCUGGUUUUGCGUAAGUUGGGCGACACCCUUGCGUGUCCCUCCGCAAAGGGUCAGCCUCCCCGAAACCUCUUAUGGUCCCUUAAGAACCUACAAAAGAGAAGACGGGUUAGAGAAUGUGUUUAACUCGAGAUCCACAAGCAGUCAUUUCAGCAGACACUUGAUACGUAAUAUAAAUUACAAACAUAGACUUCGAAAGCUCUAAACAGUCGCGCGACAAAGGGUCCUAGGUGGUCCGCCAUGGCCAAAUAUCCCCACAAGUGCCCACAUGACACUAUUGUGGAAUAAGGUGACAAACCAACCCUAGACACUACUCCAAGGCCCCAUCCAGCCAUAUGCCACCCGAGUAUCUCCUAGGUGUUGUACUGGCUGAUACUCCGCACUACUCUGUGGAGCUAGAAAACCCCAAAAAUGAUUGCUUGGAUGGCCUGUUUCUGGAUAGUUUUGCCUCUAUACGACGACUGUACACAACCUGUAUUUACAAGCCUGAAACGAUCACAAAAGCCAACCAAACUAGGGCUGUCAAACCUAUUGCAAGCCCUCUAUAUGUUAUGCAAAGCAUAAACACAAACUGAAAUACAUAGACAUAUAUGAGUAUUACAUCAAACACCCCGUUUAUAAUUUUGUUCGUGACACCUUGUCGUCGCUAGAUCAGGAGAGAAAAGCAACUUGAGAUAAGUUUUAGGGAUGAUAAGAACAAUAACCUAACCUCCACAUCACCUAAGUGGGCAGGAAUACACCCAGCUAUCGCUAGUUGACUAAACAAGGGCAUGAGCAACGCUAACAAGGGUGAGGAGGCCAUGAGAGCUAUAACAAAGAGAUGUUUAGCAUUGAUCACGGAGGACAGAUUUUCCAUCAUGGAGGUGGUGGCGAUGCUCAAGGGGGUGUGGACAACCCUCGCAAGCCUCUAUAAAAAAAUUAGUAUUAAUUAACACAAGCAUUAGGUGACUCCCCUCAUAAGAUCACUGGGACCCACUUGUUCUGCUAUCUGUGACAUCAUUUACAUAGGUGGAGAGCCUACUAUAGUUAAGAUAUCCAAGCUCCAUGUUUUUUUAUAACCAUAUGAAUCCAUUGGGUCCCACUAAACAUAGCAGAGCUAUAGAAUUAAUAGACGAUUUUGAUGAAGUCUUUAACAUGCUCCCACCAAAGGUGUGAUUAGAGCAGAUCCCAAGUUCUUUAAGGUUUUAAACUAUUAUUCCUUUUAGGACCACAUCAAUUGGUUGGCUAUGAAGAAUUGUAAUUGGCUACUUAUGCUAUGGCCCUAGGUCUAAUUCUGGGGCUGGCUUAUAUGGAUAUGUAAUGUCUAAAUGUGAGUUGCAUUUAAUCCUAAUGAGCAUAUCUAAUCUAAUAGCAUUCCAAUUAUGAUGGGAAUAAAAAUUUUAAAACUUUUUAUAGCAUAGAUGAAUCAUUCUAUGAAGAUUUUCAUCUUGGAAGGUGCUGACUAGUGUGGAUGGUAAAGACCUUGACAUAUUAUCACACUUUGUAAAAAAAAUUCAUCAUACGUCUUAACAAAAACUUGUGUAAAUUUUUUAAUGUCAUUUUGCUGCUGAAGAUUCUGAGCUAGGUGAUCUCUAGGAAAAAUAAUACAAAGACAAGACAAGAAUCUGUAUCCACAAUAUAUGAGAAUAUCAGAAAGAUAAGAACCUGUUCACUGUGUCCCUGUGGAAAAUAGUCCAGCAAAGGCAUGCCAAAGCUCGGAAUUUAACACCUUCCUUGCACCUACAAAAAUAGCAAGGUGAAUAUUUUCUUCAAUUCAACAACAGGUGAAUAAACAAACAAAAAAUGUGAGGUAAAUGAGCAUACUUCUAGCAGACAUUACAGUUAUGCAAAAUGAACAUUAUACAAGAAAGUGUUAAUGACAACAGAAAAGGAUGAUCACAGAGUUAUAUGAGAUUGACAACCGGAUAUUUUACAAACAGUUAUUGACACUAUAACUGGUAAAUUCUUUCAAUCACCUAGAAAACUCUCUACUCAAAGAGUUGCAAAAACCUGAUCUAAACCACUUUUAAUAUAUAGUUUCAGCUUACAAUACCAGCAAGUUAAACAUUAUCCAUUCCCUUACAAAACUCUUUACUCUUCAAAGAGUUGGGAUGGACGGAUUGAAGACUUUCUCUGGAUUUUGAAGAAUUGUUCUGGCCGCUUCAUUAGCCUUCUGCAGGUCCCCUAGUUGACACAACAAUGAAAUGAUGGAAUAGUAGGUUGCAAAGUCAUAGCCUAGUGGUUUU
rnacentral:lncRNA from 1 species